CGGCGAGUGGCGACGGGUGAGUAAUAUAUCGGAACGUACCCAAGAGUGGGGGAUAACGUAGCGAAAGUUACGCUAAUACCGCAUACGAUCUAAGGAUGAAAGCAGGGGACCGCAAGGCCUUGUGCUCCUGGAGCGGCCGAUAUCUGAUUAGCUAGUUGGUGAGGUAAAGGCUCACCAAGGCAACGAUCAGUAGCUGGUCUGAGAGGACGACCAGCCACACUGGAACUGAGACACGGUCCAGACUCCUACGGGAGGCAGCAGUGGGGAAUUUUGGACAAUGGGGGCAACCCUGAUCCAGCAAUGCCGCGUGAGUGAAGAAGGCCUUCGGGUUGUAAAGCUCUUUUGUCAGGGAAGAAAAGGUCGUGGCUAAUAUCCACGACUGCUGACGGUACCUGAAGAAUAAGCACCGGCUAACUACGUGCCAGCAGCCGCGGUAAUACGUAGGGUGCAAGCGUUAAUCGGAAUACUGGGCGUAAGCGUGCGCAGGCGGUUUCGUAAGUCUGUCGUGAAAUCCCCGGGCUUAACCUGGGAAUGGCGAUGGAGACUGCGAGGCUAGAGUUUGGCAGAGGGGGGUAGAAUUCCACGUGUAGCAGUGAAAUGCGUAGAGAUGUGGAGGAACACCGAUGGCGAAGGCAGCCCCCUGGGUCAAAACUGACGCUCAUGCACGAAAGCGUGGGGAGCAAACAGGAUUAGAUACCCUGGUAGUCCACGCCCUAAACGAUGUCUACUAGUUGUUGGGUCUUAAUUGACUUAGUAACCCAUCUAA
rnacentral:rRNA from 1 species